UACGUAGGGGGCAAGCGUUGUCCGGAUUUAUUGGGCGUAAAGAGCGUGUAGGCGGCUAGGUAGGUCCGUUGUGAAAACUCGAGGCUCAACCUCGAGCUGUCGAUGGAAACCAUCUGGCUAGAGUCCGGAAGAGGAGAGUGGAAUUCCUGGUGUAGCGGUGAAAUGCGCAGAUAUCAAGAAGAACACCCGUGGCGAAGGCGGCUCUCUGGUACGUGACUGACGCUGAGACGCGAAAGCGUGGGGAGCGAACAGG
rnacentral:rRNA from 1 species